rnacentral:lncRNA from 1 species
GAGUGUAGAGACGAAAAUAAGUAAAUCAGGCAGAAAUAUUAAUGAAAUAAGUUUAGAAAUCUCAGGAAGGAACUAAGACCUUUAACAUGAAUCUACUAGUAAAAGAAACUUAUGAUAAACAUAGUAAAAGAACAACGUGCGAAAUACCGUAGAAGAACUCAUAAGAAUAUGGUCGAAAAAACACGUAGGAAACACAGUAGAAGAACUCGUAAAGACACUUUAGGAGAAAAACACAAUAGAAGAAACUAAUAGUAGAAGAAACACAUAAGAAACUUAACGAAAAUCAUAGAAGCAUCUUAACAAAACCCUAAACCGAAAAGAUAAAGGUUUAAAAGCAUAGUUUUUUUAAAGAAGUCUCGAGAAACUAUUUAAAAGCUUAGGGAAAACACGGAUCUAGAAUAGGAUCUAAAGAAAUCAGAAGAACCUCAA